CCUACGGGCGGCAGCAGUGAGGAAUAUUGGUCAAUGGCCGCAAGGCUGAACCAGCCAAGUAGCGUGAAGGAAGAAGGAUCUAUGGUUUGUAAACUUCUUUUAUAGGGGAAUAAAGGUAUCCACGUGUGGAUAUUUGCAUGUACCCUAUGAAUAAGCAUCGGCUAACUCCGUGCCAGCAGCCGCGGUAAUACGGAAGAUGCGAGCGUUAUCCGGAUUUAUUGGGUUUAAAGGGUGCGUAGGUUGUUUGUUAAGUCUGUGGUGAAAGUUUGUGGCUCAACCAUAAAAUUGCAGUGGAAACUGGAAGGCUGGAGUGUGUUUGAGGUAGGCGGAAUGCGUGGUGUAGCGGUGAAAUGCAUAGAUAUCACGAAGAACUCCGAUUGCGAAGGCAGAUUACUAAGCCAUAACUGACACGGAAGCUCGAAAGCGUGGGGAUCAAACAGGAUUAGAUACCCGAGUAGUC
rnacentral:rRNA from 1 species